CUGCUGCCUCCCGUAGGAGUCUGGACCGUGUCUCAGUUCCGGUGUGGCUGGUCAUCCUCUCAGACCAGCUAGGGAUCGUCGCCUAGGUGAGCCGUUACCCCACCUACUAGCUAAUCCCAUCUGGGCACAUCCGAUGGCAAGAGGCCCGAAGGUCCCCCUCUUUGGUCUUGCGACGUUAUGCGGUAUUAGCUACCGUUUCCAGUAGUUAUCCCCCUCCAUCAGGCAGUUUCCCAGACAUUACUCACCCGUCCGCCACUCG
rnacentral:rRNA from 1 species